GGAGAGGUGCCGGAGUGGUCGAACGGGGCAGUCUCGAAAACUGUUGUGCUCUUACGGGUACCGUGGGUUCGAAUCCCACCCUCUCCGCCA
rnacentral:tRNA from 3 species